UACGUAGGGACCUAGCGUUGUUCGGAUUUACUGGGCGUAAAGGGCGCGUAGGCGGCUAUUCAAGUCAUCUGUGAAAUCUCCGGGCUUAACCCGGAACGGUCAGAUGAUACUGCUUUGCUAGAGUGCGGAAGGGGCAAGCGGAAUUCUUGGUGUAGCGGUGAAAUGCGUAGAUAUCCAGAGGAACACCAGAGGUGAAGACGGGUUGCUGGGCCGACACUGACGCUGAUGCGCGAAAGCCAGGGGAGCAAACGGG
rnacentral:rRNA from 1 species